GGAUAGCAUGCUAUUCUACAAUAGCUACCUUAGCUUUUGAUAUUCAACAAGGAUUGAGUUGUAAUAAUCAUCCAGUAUUGUGAGAUCAUGUUUUGUAAAUUUUAGACAAUAAAUACUUAAGAAACCACAGAAGUUGCUGUGAAAGGCCUUUCAUACAAAUAUGUUAUACAAUGUAUUGGUACAUCCCCAUGGGAUAUACAAACUACCUCACUCUCAAUAGCUAGUAAAAGGUUAGGCCUAGCAGCCAGACAAUGAACCCAUCAAGGGCUUCCAUUGAUACAUAAGAGGGGAACAACCAUAUGAGUCUACGAGAUAACUCAUUAUAGCCACAGACACUAUAAAACUUAUAAUAUUAAAAGGAAAACCAUGAAACUAAUUUUGGUACAACAAGCAUCCAUUCCAUU
rnacentral:lncRNA from 1 species